UACGUAGGGAGCAAGCGUUGUCCGGAAUCAUUGGGCGUAAAGCGCGCGUAGGUGGCCCCAUAAGUCCGCUGUGAAAGUCAAAGGCUCAACCUUUGAAAGCCGGUGGAUACUGUGGGACUAGAGUACGGAAGAGGCGAGUGGAAUUCCUGGUUUAGCGGUGGAAUGCGCAGAUAUCAGGAGGAACACCAAUAGCGAAGGCAGCUCGCUGGGACGUUACUGACACUGAGGCGCGAAAGCGUGGGGAGCGAACAGG
rnacentral:rRNA from 1 species